rfam:Anoxybacillus flavithermus strain 25 c34, whole genome shotgun sequence.
CGCAUCCUUCGGGGCAGGGUGAAAUUCCCGACCGGCGGUAAUGAAACGGAUGUUUCUUAGCCCGCGAGCCGUUAAGGCAUGAUCCGGUGCAAUUCCGGAGCCGACAGUAUAGUCUGGAUGGGAGAAGGAUUGC